CAAUCUAUAACCCACCAAUUCAAUAAAAUUCAACAGCAUGACAUGGCAAUUUUAUCAUUAUCCAGCCUAUCAAGGCAAACAAUAGUUUAUACAUUUUCAAUACAAAUACCCAUCCAGCCAUUCAUGCCCACAUUAUUAUAAGCCAUUCAAUUCAAAACAUAAUUUACAAUAUAGCAAGUAGUCUCCAAUUACUCCAUUUUCAAGUCAUCAUUAAAUUCCAAAACAAUUUAUAAAAUCAUUUCAUUUAAACACAUUUUCCAUAAAAUUUCAAAAUCAGAUACAACAUACUUUAGAUAAUUAAAAUGAUAAUAAGGUUACUCACUAUAAUGGAAGUUGAGUUUCGAGUACUCCGAUUCUUGAUCCUCGGGUACUAUCUUUUUACUUUUGCCAGAAAGCUCACCACCUAGACAUAAUGCACAAUAAGUCAUUUACUACAUUUGUGCUAAACCGUUGUAAAACCAAUUCAAGCUCUAUACUAAUGCAUGAAAUGGGAUGUGAAAUGCUAGGGUAACCAUCUAAAUACGGAGUUCAAUAUAAGUUCAAUUGUGUACCUAAAUAAAAUGGUAUUGGCUUAAUUCGAUCUAUCACCCGAUUAAUUGGCCAAUACGUCCAAUUCAACUCCAAACAAUUCCAUUUCUCUCCCAAUACUCCAAAUCAUUAAACAUAAUUUAAAUAACUUGAAAUGUGGCAAAAUCAUCCUCACAUUUUCUCUUGAAAAAUUCAGCCAUGGUGAGUGCACUAACAAUAUAAUUUUUCCCACUUGAUUUUUACACCAUAAAUCAUUAAUUCCUAACCAAAUCACUUGAAAUAAAAUCAAGUCCACCAUCAACACACCAUAGGGAAGAUUCGGCCAAUGGAAGGUGAUGGAAGAAAAUGAAUUUUUCUUGUUUGCUUUUCAUACUACACAUCACUAUCUAACUAAAAACACUAGAAUAUAUUGAAAUAUAACCAAAUCCAAGUUCAAAACUUCUCCCCCCAUGUCCGGCCAGCAAAGGUAUCCUCAUGCAAACUUGAUUCUCAACCAUGGAAAAUGAAAAAGAAUGCAUAGGAAAGGUAGAUCACAAGCUAGAAUUGAAAAAUCUUACCUUUUGUCACUUGAUUUUUUUAAAUUUUGUGAAUUUCUCUUGAAUUUCUUAUCUAGGUUUUUGUUCUUCUUCUUUUAUUCCCUUUUCCUCCUUUGGCCAACCAAGAGAAAUGAG
rnacentral:lncRNA from 1 species